GCCGGGUUAGCACAGCGGUAGUGCAGCAGUUUUGUAAACUGAAGGUCGGGGGUUCGAUCCCCUCACCCGGCACCA
rnacentral:tRNA from 1 species